rnacentral:rRNA from 1 species
GCCUCCCUCCGCCGCCAUCAGACUCCUACGGGAGGCAGCAGUGGGGAAUUUUUGGCGUCAAUGGGGGGAAAACCCUGGACGCAGCAACGCCGCGUGGAGGAUGAAGCCCCUUGGGGGCCGUUAAACGUCCUUUCGAUUCGGGACGAUAACGACGGUACCGGAAGAAGAAGCCCGGCUAACCUUCGUGCCAGCAGCCGCGGUAAUAC